ACUUAUCCUGCAGUCGAGAUUCCUACGGGAGGCAGCAGUGGGGAAUCUUAGACAAUGGGGGAAACCCUGAUCUAGCCAUGCCGCGUGAGUGAUGAAGGCCUUAGGGUCGUAAAGCUCUUUCGCCAGGGAUGAUAAUGACAGUACCUGGUAAAGAAACCCCGGCUAACUCCGUGCCAGCAGCCGCGGUAAUACGGAGGGGGUUAGCGUUGUUCGGAAUUACUGGGCGUAAAGCGCGCGUAGGCGGAUUAGUCAGUCAGAGGUGAAAUCCCAGGGCUCAACCCUGGAACUGCCUUUGAUACUGCUAGUCUAGAGUUCGAGAGAGGUGAGUGGAAUUCCGAGUGUAGAGGUGAAAUUCGUAGAUAUUCGGAGGAACACCAGUGGCGAAGGCGGCUCACUGGCUCGAUACUGACGCUGAGGUGCGAAAGUGUGGGGAGCAAACAGGAUUAGAUACCCUGGUAGUCCACACCGUAAACGAUGAAUGCCAGUCGUCGGCAAGUAUACUUGUCGGUGACACACCUAACGGAUUAAGCAUUCCGCCUGGGGAGUACGGUCGCAAGAUUAAAACUCAAAUGAAUUGACGG
rnacentral:rRNA from 1 species